rnacentral:lncRNA from 10 species
AACAGCUCUGUGUCUGGAAUGAGCCCUCCUAGAAUUCAGUACCAUAAAACUGAAGACAUGUAAAUCUGCUCAUGUAAAUCCUCCACUGCAUAGCCUUUUGUGUGGAGCAUUUAUCCGGACUGAUGGCAAAAACUACUGAUAUCAUAUGGAAAUGCCAGCUCAGAAGAUGUGGUGAGCUUUGAUAAUUCAGGAAUUGACUGACAGAAGGAGGACCUCAUUUGGGCAGAAUGGCUCCCAAAACCCAGUUGUGUCUCUGGGUGUGUAAGCCCAGCAGCAGGCAGUGUGUCAUCGCUGUGUCAGUUCUAUGGUGUGAUGUGCGGAACUGGUACUGGAAUGUAGACAUCAAGGCUGGUUCUUCGGCUCUCCCAAAGGCCAAAGAUAUCUAUUUAAAUAUCAUUUAAAUAAACCCCUUUAUUGCUUAAAUCAUC